rnacentral:tRNA from 1 species
UCCCUAGUGGCUCAGACGGUAAAGCGUCUGCCUGCAAUGCGGAAGACCCAGGUUUGACCCCUGGGUUGGGAA